rnacentral:rRNA from 1 species
UACGUAGGGACCGAGCGUUGUCCGGAAUCAUUGGGCGUAAAGAGCGUGUAGGCGGCCACUUAAGUCCUGCGUGAAAUCUUGCGGCUCAACCGCAAGCGGUCGUGGGAAACUGGGUGGCUAGAGUGCGGGAGGGGAGAGUGGAAUUCCUGGUGUAGCGGUGGAAUGCGCAGAUAUCAGGAAGAACACCCGUGGCGAAGGCGGCUCUCUGGAACGCAACUGACGCUGAGACGCGAAAGCGUGGGGAGCAAACAGG